rnacentral:rRNA from 1 species
ACUCGAGUGGCGAACGGGUGCAGUAACACGUGGGCAAUCUGCCCUGCACUUCGGGAUAAGCCUGGGAAACUGGGUCUAAUACCGGAUAGGACCUUUAGACGCAUGUCUUUUGGUGGAAAGCUUUUGCGGUGUGGGAUGGGCCCGCGGCCUAUCAGCUUGUUGGUGGGGUGAUGGCCUACCAAGGCGACGACGGGUAGCCGGCCUGAGAGGGUGUCCGGCCACACUGGGACUGAGAUACGGCCCAGACUCCUACGGGAGGCAGCAGUGGGGAAUAUUGCACAAUGGGCGCAAGCCUGAUGCAGCGACGCCGCGUGGGGGAUGACGGCCUUCGGGUUGUAAACCUCUUUCACCAUCGACGAAGGUUCGGGUUUUCUCGGAUUGACGGUAGGUGGAGAAGAAGCACCGGCCAACUACGUGCCAGCAGCCGCGGUAAUACGUA